AUGCUUCGCUUCAGCAGCAUAUAUACUAAAAUUGGAAUGAUACAGAUAAGAUUAGCAUGGCCCCUGUGCAAGAAUAAUACGCAAUUACCCCUCUGGAAAAACCCGUGCUG